CCUACGGGCGGCAGCAGUGAGGAAUAUUGGUCAAUGGACGAGAGUCUGAACCAGCCAAGUAGCGUGAAGGAUGACUGCCCUAUGGGUUGUAAACCUCUUUUAUAGAGGAAUAAAACGAGGCACGUGUGCCUUUUUGCAUGUACUUUAUGAAUAAGGAUCGGCUAACUCCGUGCCAGCAGCCGCGGUAAUACGGAGGAUCCGAGCGUUAUCCGGAUUUAUUGGGUUUAAAGGGAGCGUAGAUGGGUUGUUAAGUCAGUUGUGAAAGUUUGGGGCUCAACCGUAAAAUUGCAUUUGAUACUGGCAGUCUUGAGUACAGUUGAGGUAGGCGGAAUUCGUGGUGUAGCGGUGAAAUGCUUAGAUAUCACGAAGAACCCCGAUUGCGAAGGCAGCUUACUAAACUGUGACUGACAUUGAUGCUCGAAAGUGUGGGUAUCGAACAGGAUUAGAUACCCCUGUAGUC
rnacentral:rRNA from 1 species